CCUACUAAUUCUCAUUAUUAAGUGUAAUAAUGUAUGUAUUAAUUAACUCCCAAGAGCUAAACUGAUUUACUCUUUGUCUUUGCUAUUGAAGAAAUUCAAUAAUCUAAAUGAAGAUAUUCCCAGCCUAUACAUAUAUUAAUUUACUCUUUGUUCCCGGCUCUUUCGGCUCCAGGGUUCCCAACUUAGGGGUUUUCCCCCCAGAUUUAGGGGGCAAAUAAGUGAAACGGGAUUUUUUUAGGGGUCUGAAAUUUUUAGGGGUAUUUUCAGGGAUUUUUUGACUCUUUAAUAUUUUUAAAUUGAUGAUAAUUUUAAUAUUUCUUUCUUGGCUUAGCGACUUAUAACUACAUAUAAUACGUUAUUCUACAACCACUCCGAGGUAAUUGGAGGCAAUUUUCAUCGAAUAAAAAAAAUUGGUAAAUUUAUUCAUUGUCAACAUGUAUGAUUUCAAAAAAUCUGAAUCUUCAGAUAAAGACGUAGUAUUUUGUCUGUAUUAAAUAUAGACUUUUGAAACAUAUGACAGCAUAUUAUUUCUAAAUUAUUAUGAAUUUAUAUUUUUUAGGGGGACAACUCAAUAAUUAAGGCGAUUUUAGGGGUUUUUGACACCAACUUUAGGGAUAAAUAUUUUGGAGAGUUGGUAACACUGUUCGGCUCAUGCUAAGAUAAGACUCUAAAAGAACUGUAAGGAUUUAAUUCCCACAUUAUUUCCCAUUUAUUUGUUUCAUAAAAAAUGAAUAGUCACAGUACUGUAAAUCUUAAGAAGAAAGAAAGAAAGACCAACUAUUCUGAGGACUGAGUAAUAAAAAGUGUUAGGCAGGAGAUCCUCUCUCUCCAAAGCCAUUCUCAGCUGUACUAGGAUCAAUGUUUAUUCUCCAUUGGAAAAAUUCUGGGAUCAAUGUCAAUAAUUUGCAUGACAAAUUGGCAAGAUACAUUUACCAUUUACAUCAACUGACUACCUGUAUAUAUAUGUAUGCAUGUACAUAUCUGCAAAUAAAAAAAAUAUUGAUUGAUUGAUUUACAGUAUCUCUUUAUAAUUAUUCUUUUGAGGUUUGUAGACGAUAAAGUGUUAUUUUAUUUGGUAAUAUAUCAGAUUACAUUGAUUGAUGAAUGACCUGGCAAUAAAAAAUGAGAGUUGAAUAUCCAAAAAAACAAGAAUAAGGACUUGUGGAGAGAAAAAACCUAAAUCUCCUACUCAUAAUAAACAACAUCUCCUAUCCCAUCCCCUGAUGAAGGGACAGUUAGUCAAAAAGGAUCAUGAAAGCAAACAAAGAGAGAAUUUAACACAGUGACUGGAAGAGAUACUGGUGUUUUUAAAGAAAGUUUGAAUGAUGGGAUAAAGACCAAAAGCAUACUUUUUAAUAAAUGUGUAAUACAUGUGGGUGUUGACAAAACACAAUAAACAAACUCGCGACCUGUCAACAGGCAAAGAGAAGGAGCAUGUUAAAUGUAAAGAAGUCAAGCAGAGAGAAAAACAUGUCAAAUAAAGCACAUAUAACAUACAAAAUAAGUAGGCUCAAAUGGCAAUAGGCAGGGCACAUGAUAAGAGAACAAGACAAAUGAAGAGAAUUUGUGAAAAAAGAAGAAGAGAAAGAUGGGAUGGCAAUGUUAAACCACUAGCAGGCGUGUUGUGGGAACAGAGUGCCUGAAGAAAGUCAGGUGUGGUCUGGGUUGGAGGAGGUCUUUGCCGUCUGAUAAAUAGAUUUGUAAAAAUUAAGCAAGACAACUGCAAUACCAAACUAAACACAUAAAUUUUCUCAUUUAGAAGCGCCAUAAUGCUGCUGUCUACUGGUAGCUUUAAAUAGAGACGAGACGAAUAUCUUAGCAUUCCAUGGAUUCACCGUGCGGGUGCUGGGUCCAUCGCAUGGUAGAGAGAAGAACUCCGAGCAGAGUCCUGAACUUUGAAGAACUGAACUGAGUCGGAAUGUUAGUCUCCCACGGCUCAGUAAGCUCUACAAGUACUGUUCGCUUAGUUUGUUUGGACAAAAGGAAAAUGUCUGGUCUAGAUCUCGAAAUAGCCACAUCCGCUGGAAUUUUAUAAUGUUUCUCAUACGUAUCUAUUAAUAAAGUCCAAUCAGGUGCAGAACCUAAGAUUGGGUAAGGCUA